rnacentral:rRNA from 1 species
CACGUAGGGUGCGAGCGUUGUCCGGAAUUAUUGGGCGUAAAGAGCUCGUAGGCGGUGUGUCGCGUCGGCCGUGAAAACCUGCAGCUUAACUGUGGGCUUGCGGUCGAUACGGGCAUCACUGGAGUUCGGCAGGGGAGACUGGAAUUCCUGGUGUAGCGGUGAAAUGCGCAGAUAUCAGGAAGAACACCCGUGGCGAAGGCGGCUCUCUGGGACGGUACUGACGCUGAGGCACGAAAGCGUGGGGAGCAAACAGG